rnacentral:rRNA from 1 species
CAGCAGCCGCGGUAAUACCGGCGGCCCGAGUGGCGGUCACUAUUAUUGGGCUUAAAGCGUCCGUAGCCGGGUUGGGAAGGCCUCCGGGGAAUCUGGCCGCUUAACGGUCAGAAUGCCGGAGGAUACUCCCAGCCUAGGGAGCGGGAGAGGCCGAGGGUAUUCCCGGAGUAGGGGUGAAAUCCUAUAAUCCCGGGAGGACCACCUGUGGCGAAGGCGCUCGGCUGGAACGCGUCCGACGGUGAGGGACGAAGGCCAGGGGAGCAAACCGGAUUAGAUACCCGGGUAGUCCGGGCUGUAAACGAUGGGUACUAGGUGUGGGAGGGUCGACCCCUUCCGUGCCGCAGCUAACGCAUUAAGUACCCCGCCUGGGGAGUACGGCCGCAAGGUUGAAACUUAAAGGAAUUGGCGGG